rnacentral:rRNA from 1 species
CCUACGGGUGGCUGCAGUCGAGAAUCUUCGGCAAUGGGCGCAAGCCUGACCGAGCGACGCCGCGUGCGGGAUGAAGGCCCUCGGGUUGUAAACCGCUGUCGUAGGGGAGGAAGGCUCCGUGAAGAACGGGGUUUGACCUAUCCUAGGAGGAAGGACGGGCUAAGUUCGUGCCAGCAGCCGCGGUAAUACGAACCGUCCGAACGUUACUCGGAAUCACUGGGCUUAAAGGGUGCGUAGGCCGCGCGGAGGGUGGGAUGUGAAAUCCCCCGGCUCAACCGGGGAAUAGCGUCCCAAACCGCCGUGCUUGAGGGAGACAGAGGUGAGCGGAACUGAUGGUGGAGCGGUGAAAUGCGUUGAUAUCAUCAGGAACACCAGUGGCGAAAGCGGCUCACUGGGUCUUUCCUAACGCUGAGGCACGAAAGCUAGGGGAGCGAACGGGA